rnacentral:rRNA from 1 species
GACGAACGCUGGCGGCGUGCUUAACACAUGCAAGUCGAACGAUGAAGCCGGAGCUUGCUCUGGUGAAUUAGUGGCGAACGGGUGAGUAACACGUGAGUAACCUGCCCUUGACUCUGGGAUAACUGCGGGAAACUGUAGCUAAUACCGGAUACGACCCUCGGAGGCAUCUCCUGGGGGUGGAAAGAAUUCCGGUCAAGGAUGGACUCGCGGCCUAUCAGCUAGUUGGUGAGGUAAAGGCUCACCAAGGCGACGACGGGUAGCCGGCCUGAGAGGGAGGCCGGACACACUGGGACUGAGACACGGCCCAGACUCCUACGGGAGGCAGCAGUGGGGAAUAUUGCACAAUGGGCGCAAGCCUGAUGCAGCAACGCCGCGUGAGGGAUGACGGCCUUCGGGUUGUAAACCUCUUUUAGUAGGGAAGAAGCGAAAGUGACGGUACCUGCAGAAAAAGCACCGGCUAACUACGUGCCAGCCGCCGCCGAAA